rnacentral:rRNA from 1 species
AAUGGGCGAAAGCCUGACGGAGCAACGCCGCGUGAGGGAAGAAGGCCUUCGGGUUGUAAACCUCUGUUUUCAGGGAAGAAAAAAAUGACGGUACCUGAAGAGUAAGCUCCGGCUAACUACGUGCCAGCAGCCGCGGUAAUACGUAGGGAGCGAGCGUUGUCCGGAUUUACUGGGCGUAAAGGGCGCGUAGGUGGUCUAUUAAGUUAUAGGUGAAAGCCCGGGGCUCAACCCCGUGAUUGCCUGUGAUACUGGUAGACUUGAGUGCAGGAGAGGGGAGCAGAAUUCCCAGUGUAGCGGUGAAAUGCGUAGAUAUUGGGAGGAAUACCAGUGGCGAAGGCGGCUCUCUGGACUGUAACUGACACUGAGGCGCGAAAGCGUGGGGAGCGAA